rnacentral:rRNA from 1 species
UACGGAGGGGGCUAGCGUUGUUCGGAAUUACUGGGCGUAAAGCGCACGUAGGCGGCUUUGUAAGUUAGAGGUGAAAGCCCGGGGCUCAACCCCGGAACUGCCUUUAAGACUGCAUCGCUUGAAUCCAGGAGAGGUGAGUGGAAUUCCGAGUGUAGAGGUGAAAUUCGUAGAUAUUCGGAAGAACACCAGUGGCGAAGGCGGCUCACUGGCCUGGUAUUGACGCUGAGGUGCGAGAGCGUGGGGAGCAAACAGG